rnacentral:rRNA from 1 species
UGAGUAGCGAAAAGAAUGGUGAGAAUCCAUUCCACCGAAAGCAUAAGGAUUCCUGAGCAACGAUCGUCGUCUCAGGGUAAGUCGGGACCUAAUCCGAGGCAAAGAGCGUAGGAGAUGGACAACUGGUUGAUAUUCCAGUACCGGCAGUGAUCGUUUGAACGAAGGAGUGACGCAGGAAGGCAGGUCCGCACGAGAUUGGUAGAUCGUGUGCAAGCGUGCAGGCUGGUUACCAGGCAAAUCCGGUAACUGAGGCUGAGGCGUGAUGCGGAGGGAACUUGUUCCCGAAGGGAUUGAGCCUACGCUGCCGAGAAAAGCUUCUAGUGAGAAAGCUGCCGCCCGUACCGUAAACCGACACAGGUAUGCGGGGAGAGAAUCCUAAGGUGCGCGGGAGAACCCUCGUUAAGGAACUCGGCAAAAUGUACCCGUAACUUCGGGAUAAGGGUAGCCACAAAGGUGAAGGGACUAGCUCCCGGAGCCCGGUGUGGUCGCAGAGAAGAGGCCCAAGCGACUGUUAACCAGAAACACAGGUGCCUGCGAAAGAGAAAUCUGAAGUAUAGGUGCUGACACCUGCCCAGUGCUGGAAGGUUAAAGAAGGAUGUCCGGGUUCGACCCAAAGCAUUCGACUGAAGCCCCAGUGAACGGCGGCCGUAACUAUAACGGUCCUAAGGUAGCGAAAUUCCUUGUCGGGUAAGUUCCGACCCGCACGAAAGGCGUAAUGAUUUGGGCACUGUCUCAACGAGGGACCCGGUGAAAUUGAAAUACCUGUGAAGAUGCAGGUUACCCGCGACUGGACAGAAAGACCCCAUGGAGCUUUACUGUAACCUAAUAUUGGGUUCUGAUACUUGAUGCACAGGAUAGGUGGGAGGCAUGGAAGGCAGUCCUCUGGGAUUGCCGGAGCCGACGUUGGGAUACCACCCUUCAAUUAUCGGGAUUCUAACCGAGCGAGUAACGAUCGCCGGGACAGUGUUAGGCGGGCAGUUUGACUGGGGCGGUCGCCUCCCAAAGAGUAACGGAGGCGCCCAAAGGUUCCCUCAGCGCGGCCGGAAAUCGCGCGAAGAGUGUAAAGGCAGAAGGGAGCUUGACUGAGAGCCAAACACGGCGAUCAGGUACGAAAGUAGGGCUUAGUGAUCCGGUGGCAUCCAAGUGGAAGGGCCAUCGCUCAACGGAUAAAAGCUACCCUGGGGAUAACAGGCUAAUCUCUCCCAAGAGUCCAUAUCGACGGGGAGGUUUGGCACCUCGAUGUCGGCUCAUCACAUCCUGGGGCUGAAGUCGGUCCCAAGGGUUGGGCUGUUCGCCCAUUAAAGUGGUACGUGAGCUGGGUUCAGAACGUCGUGAGACAGUUCGGUCCCUAUCCAUCGCGGGCGCAAGAGAUUUGAAGGGGGCUGCUCCUAGUACGAGAGGACCGGAGUGGACGAACCAAUGGUGUACCAAUUAUCUCGCCAGAGGUAUAGUUGGGUAGCUACGUUCGGAAAGGAUAAACGCUGAAAGCAUCUAAGCGUGAAACCAGCCUUAAGAUGAGAUCUCUCAUAGAGUAAUCUAGUAAGACACCUUGGAGAAGACGAGGUUGAUAGGUCGGGAGUGUAAGUACAGUAAUGUAUUCAGCGGACCGAUACUAAUAUGUCGAGGGCUUGACUUA